rnacentral:rRNA from 1 species
CCUACGGGGGGCUGCAGUGGGGAAUAUCGCACAAUGGGCGCAAGCCUGAUGCAGCCAUGCCGCGUGUGUGAAGAAGGCCUUCGGGUUGUAAAGCACUUUCAGCGGGGAGGAAGGCGGUGAGGUUAAUAACCUCAUCGAUUGACGUUACCCGCAGAAGAAGCACCGGCUAACUCCGUGCCAGCAGCCGCGGUAAUACGGAGGGUGCAAGCGUUAAUCGGAAUUACUGGGCGUAAAGCGCACGCAGGCGGUCUGUCAAGUCGGAUGUGAAAUCCCCGGGCUCAACCUGGGAACUGCAUUCGAAACUGGCAGGCUAGAGUCUUGUAGAGGGGGGUAGAAUUCCAGGUGUAGCGGUGAAAUGCGUAGAGAUCUGGAGGAAUACCGGUGGCGAAGGCGGCCCCCUGGACAAAGACUGACGCUCAGGUGCGAAAGCGUGGGGAGCAAACAGGAUUAGAUACCCGUGUAGUC